AGCCUUGUGGUGUAUAACAUAUUGGAUUGCAAAUCCGAAGUAGCCGGUUAGUAGCCGGCCGGGGCUU
rnacentral:tRNA from 1 species